GUAUUUGUGGUGUAGUGAUUAUCACAUCCGCCUAACACGAGCGGAAGGUCCCAGGUUCGAUCCCUGGCAUAUAUA